rnacentral:rRNA from 1 species
CCUACGGGUGGCAGCAGUGAGGAAUAUUGGUCAAUGGGCGUAAGCCUGAACCAGCCAAGUCGCGUGAGGGAUGAAGGUUCUAUGGAUCGUAAACCUCUUUUAUAAGGGAAUAAAGUGAGGGACGUGUCCUGUUUUGCAUGUACCUUAUGAAUAAGGAUCGGCUAACUCCGUGCCAGCAGCCGCGGUAAUACGGAGGAUCCGAGCGUUAUCCGGAUUUAUUGGGUUUAAAGGGUGCGUAGGUGGCUUUUUAAGUCAGCGGUGAAAGUUUGUGGCUCAACCAUAGAAUUGCCGUUGAUACUGGGAGGCUUGAGUAUAUUUGAGGCAGGCGGAAUGCGUGGUGUAGCGGUGAAAUGCUUAGAUAUCACGCAGAACCCCGAUUGCGAAGGCAGCUUACCAAUCUGUAUCUGACGUUGAGGCACGAAAGUGUGGGUAUCAAACAGGAUUAGAUACCCCUGUAGUC